CAGAGCCUUAAGAAGAACUUCCCCACUGGUGACACUCGAAUCUGGGAACCCUGAGACCAGGAAGCUAAGAAGCCAGCACUGGCCUGCUGGAUGAUGAGUACCACCCCUAUGCCUGCUGACAGCCAGCCGACCCCAGAUCUGAUGGGCUCCUGCCUGAGUGUGCCCAGAUGACACCAACUAGAGCAGAGUGUUUGAACUCACCAUAAGACUGACACACCACGUGCACCAGGGGAUAAGACUUCCAGAGGACUCGGUCACACCAGGAAGCCUCAGGCAGGUCCUUCAGGAGGUAACCAGAAGAAGACAUUGUCAUCAUAGGAGACGACAGCUCCAUGUUAUUGCCCCGAGGACCUUCCAUGGGAUGAGAUGUGGAGACACUUUCUGUUCACCUUUUGGGAACAGACACCAGCGGGGAGGAGAUGGAGGGCAGGGAAGGUGUCUAUGAAGAGGACUCACCCCUGUCGCUUUCUGCUUGGUGUAGGCGUAUUUGUCCCGAGUCAGUCUCUCAAAACGGUCAGUGGUUCCCAAAGGGAGUUCCCUGGACCAGCAGCUGCACAUCACCUGGGAACUUCAUGGAAGGGCAGAUUCUCAGCCCCACCCCAGACCUACUGAAUCUGAAAUCCUGGGAUGGGGCCCAGUAAUCUGUGUUUGACAAGCCCUCCAGUGUCAGGGGUGGGCAAAUGCUGGCUCACUGCCAGCUACAAAUGGUUUUACAUUUGUAAAUGGUUGGAAACAAAUCAAAAGAAAAACCAUCUUUUGUCAUUCAUGAAAAUACGAAAUUCAAAUUUCAGUGUUCGUAAAGAACACGUUACUGGAACACAGCCAUGCCUAUUGACUUCUGGAUUGUCUGUAGCUGCUUUCAGACUACGAUGGCAGAGCUGAAGCAUUGUGACAGUUGUGUGGCCCAAAGAGCCUAGAAUAUUCACCAUCUGGCCUUCUAUGGAAAACGCUUGUUAACCCCUGCUCUAGGUGAUUCUGACACAUGCAGGUGAGAACCUGCUCUGUCCAAUACAGGCACAGGCCACAUGUGACUAUCAAACACCUGAAAUGUGGCUGGUACAAAAUGAGACAGGUUGUGAGUGUAAAAUACACAUUGGAAUUGUGGCCUUGGUAAGAAACACAGACUGUAAAAUAUCUAAUAACCUUUUACAUUAAAUAUCUAUUGAAAUAAUUGUAUUUUGGAUGUAUGAAAUUCAAUAAAAUCUAUUAUUGAAAUUAAUUUCACUUGUUUUCUUUUUAAUGUGGCUACUAGAAAAUUUGAUCUAUUGAUUGUAAUAAAUCAAAUUGUAAUCUAUUUUGAUCAUAAAUCUAUUUAUUUAUGAUCUAUUUGGCUCCCAUCAUUUUCUUUUCUUCCUUUCUUUCUUUUUUUUUUUUUUUUUUUUGGAGACAGAGUCUCACUCUGUCUCCCAGGCUGGAGUGCAGUGGCGCGAUCUCUGCUUACUGCAACCUCCGUCUCCCAGGUUCAAGCAAUUCUCCUGUCUCUGCCUCAGGAGUAGCUGGGACUACAGGCACCCACCACCACACCCAGCUAAUUUUUUGUAUUUUAGUAGAGACGAGGUUUCACCGUGUUGCCCAGGUUGGUCUCAAACUACUGAGCUCUGGCAAUCUGCCUGCCUCAGCCUCCCAAAGUGCUAGGAUUACAGGCGUGAGCCACGGCACCCG
rnacentral:lncRNA from 10 species